UAAAAAAUGGAAAUCAGCAUAUUAAAAACAUAAAGACUUUACUCAGCUGUAUAGUACACUGUAUAGUACACGCACAGUUUCACAUGCACUGCCAAACUUAUCAACAGGGGCGGCCCUGCCUUUAGGCAAUUGAGGCAAGCGCCUAGGGCCCCCAAAUUUUUGGGGCCCCCCAAUUUUUUUAAAAAAGUUUUUGAGUUCCAAAAUUUUUUUAAUCAAAUAAUAUUAAUAUUAUUUAUUAUGCUCUAUUCCCAUAAUUGACUUCCCAAUUAAUUAAUAAAUUAUAAAAUUAUAUUUUAAAAUAUAAAAUAAAUACAAUUUAAUUCUUUUUUUUCAAGUCUUAUAGUUUCCAACUAACAAUUUUAUUGUAUUUCAAAUUAUCUAUUACUCUCAUCUCUUUCUCUUAGUCUAUCUAAAAAUUUUUUUUCAUCUCUCACACUCAUACUCUCAUCUCUUGGUUUCUCUAUGAUUUUUGCUCCAACUAUCGUGUUCAUCAUCUUCAGGCCUCCAAUUCUAUGUAAUUUUCAUCAACUCUAAUUUUUAUUUCAAUGUUUGUAUAUUAUUUUUCUAUUAUUUUCGCUUUGAAUUUUUUUUUUUCUAUUUUUUCUUAGAUUUUGGAAGCUUUGAGAUUAUAGCUUUGUAUUCGGCAAGAAUCCGAUAUCUCUAAAGUCUUGCUCGCCGAUCAAUUUGAAAUAAUAAUAAUAAUCAGGUUAUAUUGUUUCAAUAUACUAUUUCUAUAGAUUUAUUAAAUUUAUUUUUAUUUGUUUACAUAAUUUAUCAAUUUGUAGUUAGUGUUGAUUUUGAAAUUUAAUUAUGUCAACGAGAAAAUGUGACUCCGGAUAUGAAAAACGAAGAUAAAAAAAUAGAAAAAUUAGUGUCAUCUCAAAAGGGAGCUCUUGAUAAAUUUUUUUUUAGUUUUAAGCAAAAUAUAAAUGAGCAAGAUGAAAAUCCUCCAAAAAACGAACAAUCAAUUCCAGAGAUGGAAUUAGAAUCUAAUAUAAUAAUAAUAAUAAUAAUAGUGAUAAAGAUAACAUUGAUAUACAGGAAAUGUUCACUAAUGAUAUUUCUUUUGAAAGACAUUUUAACAAUAUAGAAGAAAAAAAAAAUAAUGAUGAUAAUAUUUAUGAUCCAAAAUAUUGGGAAAAUAUAGAUACCAAAUUACGAAAUUUACUAGUUGAAAAAGGUCAUAUUAGGGAUAAUGAUUUAAUUUUUCCAAAAAAUGAAAAUUCAAGACAUUUUUCAAGUAUAUAUUAUAUUCGAAAAUUAUCAAAUAGAGAGAAAUAAGAUAGAAAAUGACUUAUAUAUUCUAAAGAUUUAGAUAGAGUAUUUUGUUUUUAUUGUAAGUUAUUUGGCCAAAAAUUAAAUAACCAACAACUAGUUAAUACUUGAAAAUCUUGAAUACAAAACUUUAAUUAGUGAUUUUGCAUCUCAAAAAGUUAAAAAAAUUAAUUUUAAAUAAAAAUAAAAAUUAAACAAAAUAUUAAGGGUGCGAAUAAAUUAUUCACCUAGGCCAUAUCGUCAAGAGCCGACCCUGCUUAUCAGUUCAUCCAAACGCCCAUUUUCAUCAGGAGAUAAUCCACAUAUUCGAAGAUCUUGACGAGAGGGUAAUUUAUUUUCACGGUGCCAAUUCUGUUUGGUUGGACAGAAAAUAUUUGUCAACAAGCCUACGCUUCACGCAUCCUUCAAAUCAAAACUAGCCCAUCCUUACUUUAUGCUCACUGGAGAAGUGUUUAGCCGCGGCGAUUAUGGCUGCGUCCGGCCCACUUCUGGAAGACUCCAGCUCAAUACAAGCAGGAGUACGUUCAGGGGACGCAGGAAAGCAUGAUGUCAGAAACCUCAAGAACAAGGUCCACAAGCUCAGGUUCUUGUCAUGACCCAUUUUGUUCUUCCGUCCUCUGUCUCUUCUUCUAAUUUCUUUUGCAGAUUUGAAAAAGAAGGCGAGUUUUUCUGCAGGUUGCAAUAGAAAUAGAAAGAUGAGAGGGAAAUUUUCUAGCUACCCAAACAAAAAAUCCUUAGCAGUCGUGCAGAAUAGAACUCAAUUAUAAGGGGGUUUGCGAUUUAGUUGGUUCUGUAAAACCACCACCAGUUUAGCUCUUUAUAUAGCCUUCAAAGAUUUCUGGCAGUCUUGGUGAUCAAGCUUAAUGUUGGGAAUCUGAUUGCUCAAAGAGAAGGAAAAAUCAGCGCAAGUUUCUUGGAAAACUAUGGUGUAGGUGGAGCCACAUCCCACAUUGGAUUAGGUGGGAAUUUUGUUUGAAUUUAAAUCAAAGAUGUUACAUUUAUUGUUUAUUUUGUGUGACCCUGCUUAAAAGACACCAACUCUGGUAUAUAAAAUUUUUAUUUGAAUUUUUGCAGAAAA